ensembl:snRNA U5 U5 spliceosomal RNA
AUACUCUGGUUUCUCUUCAGACCGUAUAAAUCUUACACCUUUUACUAAAGAUUUCCAUGGAGAUUAGGGCUCAGAGGUUAAAGCGUCUGCCUGGAAUGCAGGAGACCCGGGUUCAAUCCCUGGGU